rnacentral:rRNA from 1 species
GAUGAACGCUGGCGGCGUGCCUAAUACAUGCAAGUCGAGCGAACGGACGCGACGCUUGCUUCUCUGAUGUUAGCGGCGGACGGGUGAGUCACACGUGGAUACUCUACUUAUAAGUCUGGGAAAACUUCGGGACACCGGAGCUUAUACCGGAUAAUCUUCUGCACCGCAUGGUUCAAAAGUGAAAGACGGUCUUGCUGUCACUUCUAGAUGGUUCCGCGCUGCAUUAGCUAGUUGGUAAGGUAACAGCUUACCAAGGCAACGAUGCAUAGCCGACGUGAGAGGGUGUUCGGCCACACUGGAACUGAGACACGGUACAGACACCGACGUGAGGCAGCAGUAGGGAAGCUACCGCAAUAUGCGAAAUCCUGACGGAGGGACGGCACGUGGGUGAAGAAGGGCUUCGUAUCGUAAAACUCUGUUAGUGGUGAAGAACAUAUGUGUAAGUAACUGUGCACAUCUUGACGGUACCUAAUCAGAAGGCCACGGCUAACUACGU